rnacentral:rRNA from 1 species
GUACUGUGCGAACGUUGUUCGGAAUUACUGGGCUUAAAGGGUGCGUAGGCGGUCAGUCAAGUCGGGUGUGAAAUCCCUCGGCUCAACCGAGGAACUGCGCCCGAAACUAAUUGGCUUGAGUGAGAUAGGGGUGUGCGGAACUUCCAGUGGAGCGGUGAAAUGUGUUGAUAUUGGAAGGAACACCGGUGGCGAAAGCGGCACACUGGGUCUCAACUGACGCUGAGGCACGAAAGCCAGGGGAGCGAACGGGGAUUAGAUACCCCGGUAGUCCUGGCUGUAAACGUUGAGCACUAGACGGGAGGAGCUUCGGCUCAUCCGGUCGUAGCGAAAGCGAUAAGUGCUCGCCUGGGGAGUAUGGUCGCAAGGCUG